UCUGAAAGUUUGCACAAAGAUUAAUGGUCUAAACUUACAUCAAAUGGUACAUUUAUCUGAAAAAAAUAUUUUCAGUCCCAUCAUGUCAAAAUACCUCAGUGGAAUCCCUUUAAAUUGAAUUAGAAAUGAUUUUUUUAAAUGUAUGGGUAAAUUCCAUUCUCAGUGGUUGGAAUUUGAUUUUCCCCUUUUCUGAUUUAUCAAGCUAUAUUUUCCCCUUCAGAAAGCCACAGGUUGUUUUGAAAAUUGAAAAAAAAUCACUGCCACCAUGAUAAUUGUUAACCUGAAAAAUCUUCAGGCACUGAAAGGGAUUUGAACCCCAGACCUCUUGAUUACAAGGCAAACACACAACCAUGUUGCGAAAAUGUCAACACAACAGCAAGGCUGUUGGAAAUGAUCUAUACCUGUUCUCACUACAUGGGGAAAUAAAAGAUCAUUUACUCCAAUAUUCACUUGGAAAGGCUGGUACAUGUAGCUAGAAAAAAGUAUAAGAUUAAAGAAAGACAAGAAGAUGAUCACAAACAACAGGUGGACAUGUGUCACUGUCAAGCAAAUGAAGAUUAGCACCACUGUCUGUGGGAAUCUCCAGUUUCCAGAUGUAGUGAUCAUAAUUGUAUAGGCACCAAUAUGAACACUUGGGACUAGUUGCACUAAUUUAGAGGGGUAGUCUGAGUUAGC